rnacentral:lncRNA from 1 species
UUACUUUGGACUAAUUAUCAAGUUUGGUGAGGAAACACAUCCAUUAGCCAAGUUGCUAAAAACCAUUUUUGAUCAUGGAUUCAUUGCACAGAAAGGAAGGAGUACCUCAAAAUUAAGGCUCGAGGGACUGUUCAUUCACAUAGAAAACAAACCACAUUCAGAUAUAGGGGUUCAGAGAACAUGGACUGCUCACAUUCGGCCAUGUACCAUCAAAAAGCUGAGCCGCAGGAUGUUGAGGGGUCCCAUAUGUCUACUGUGUCCCGUC